AGAACGAUAAGGGCGACCCCAAAUGUGUGGUGCGAGAAUCGCUCCUGACUUGAGUCAGCAUAAAAGUACUUCCUCCCAGUCGGUGUGCGAGGCUGAGGGAUAAAUGGGGGAACUGGGGGAGAGAAAAAGGUCCUUGCCCUAACGCGCCCCAAUAAAGAGCGGCUUGGUCCGUCUCUUCCGGCUUGUGACUCUCUGUGGGACACGCUGCCGGGACCGAGUAUACGCGAGAGGAGGUUAUUCAUGGCCUCUCUGACAAUGCCGUCCAAGCUGAGCACAGACUGGCGAAUGCUCGCACUCCAGAAGGCCACUGCUGGCGCUCACUCUUGCGUGCUCAGCGGACCUCUCUGCACGCACAGGACCAGUUUACCUUUUGCAUGUCUGCUUUCAUACAGAUGGACUUGGCCCCCUGUUUGAUGGUACCAGGUUUCCUUGGUAUCUCUACAGAAACCAGAGACCGGCGGGUGCCCCCAGAAGCACCUGGAAAUUGGCCGACAACAGGAACGAGGGGGAGACACAGUCGGCGGGGACGAGAGGGCCCUCGGAAGCCUGACAACGCCCCUGAGACUGCUGACAACCAUCACAGGGAGUGACCAGCCCUGGGCAUUACUGCACAAUCCUCCAGGGCCCGAGCUUGUCAGCUGGAGGGAAGCCCUCACACCCCUCUACACUCAGGGCAGUAUGUCUGCAAGGCUGAAACUGGCUUCCUUGUGGCACCACCUGAAGAAACUGGGAAAGCAUCAGAAAGAACAUCUGUGGGAACCCUUUUGUGUCACUAAAGCCCCCGAGGUUCGGGGUACUGUGUGCCUCUGGUCAACAGCACCCUAAGACCUUGGUUUAAGUUCUGCUGAGCAAGUUCUUCAAUUAUUAAGGCUAAAUACUGCCCCGUGCCCGCACCACCUGCCGAGGAAUCUCCAUG
rnacentral:lncRNA from 1 species